rnacentral:rRNA from 1 species
AGAAUCAACGCUGGCGGCGUGCCUAACACAUGCAAGUCGCACGAGAAAGGGACUUCGGUCCCGAGUACAGUGGCGCACGGGUGAGUAACACGUGAAUAAUCUACCUCCGAGUGGGGAAUAACUGAGAGAAAUCUUAGCUAAUACCGCAUAACACUUACGAGUCAAAGCAGCAAUGCGCUUGGAGAGGAGUUCGCGGCAGAUUAGUUAGUUGGCGGGGUAAUGGCCCACCAAGACGAUGAUCUGUAUCCGGCCUGAGAGGGCGCACGGACACACUGGAACUGAAACACGGUCCAGACUCCUACGGGAGGCAGCAGUGGGGAAUUUUGCGCAAUGGGGGAAACCCUGACGCAGCAACGCCGCGUGGAGGAUGAAAUAUCUUGGUAUGUAAACUCCUUUCGAUGGGGAAGAUAAUGACGGUACCCAUAGAAGAAGCCCGGCUAACUUCGCGCCAGCAGCCGC